CCAUUUUUAAAGAAAUGGAAAUAUAAAAAAUAUGAUAACAUACAGAACAGGCUAAUUUGCGCAAGAGUGUACAAAAUGAGUGCGCGGUUUGGCACCUCGAUGUCGGCUUAACUUAUCCUCAUGGAUGCAGGAACUAUGUAGGGUGCGACUGUUCGUCGAUUAAAAAGUUACAUGAGCUGGGUUAAAUACGUCGUGAGACAGUAUGGUUUCUAUCUUCUAGGGGGAAUUAGAAUAUAAUAAGAACAAACUUUUGUACGAAAGGAACAAGAAGAGUUUAGCUGUAAAAGGUUAAACGAUGGUUACUAAUCUAUGGUUUACCUGUUGUUUAUGUGCCCAAUAUUCAAUAUAUAUAUUUUUAUAUAUAUCUGUAUUUUUAUACAUGGGAUGUUUCUUUCACUAAGAUAAAUAUAUAGCAUAAGCACGGCAGGAACGCUAAGUUAGUUAAGGAUAAGUGCUGAAAGCAUAUAGGCACGAAGCUUAUCUUAAGAUAUUUCUUAAAUAUGCGUAAUAUAUUAUUACGAAAUAAUCAUAGGCUUUAUCCGUAAGAAUCAAGAGAUUUUCAAGAAUAAAGUACUAAUUUAAUAA
rnacentral:ncRNA from 1 species